UCAAAGUUAAUUUCUUCUGUUCUAAUAAAUAUUUUCUGAGUUUGUUCCUGGACUUGGAUCCAGAGUUUAAUUUAGUCCCUCUGUGUAACUGAGUUGGACCUGCUGACCUGAGGUCAGAACAGGACAACAUUCGGACCCCCGGUGUGUAGAAAUCCCCCUCAUGUGAAGCAGGUCAGAACAGGACAGCAUUCGGACCCCCGGUGUGUAGAAAUCCCCCUCAUGUGAAGCAGGUCAAAGGUCAUUCAACCCAGUCUAGAAAAGUGAAUUCCUGGAAUCUGACAGGAACAAAUCAAUAAUCAAUGAUUGAUGCUUCAACACUUUGAUCAGAACCUGGAAUGAUUUUACUGACUAAAAUCCUCCAACACAACACGACCCAGUACCAGGUUCUGGUUCUGGUUCUGGUUCUGAAGUCAGCAGGUCUUUAUUGAAGCAGCAGCUUGUUGGCAUUAAUAUUCAUGAGAAUCUUUAACUGGUUCUGUUGGACUGGUUAACCUGCAUCCUGUUGGUUCAGCUCAUCUUUUAUUCUUUAUUCAGAUUGAAUCGCUGCAGUUUGUCAAAGAUCAGCUGUGAUUAUUUGGCUUCAACUCUGAAGUCCAACAGCCUCCAUCUGAAAGAACUGGACCUGAGA